UAGGAUAUAGUGUAAUGGGAGCACAAAGGGUUUUGAGUUCUUUAUUAUAGGUUCGAAUCCUAUUAUCCUAG
rnacentral:tRNA from 1 species